UUUCCGCGGGUAUUAACUAGUUCGAAAGCUAUAAAAGAGACACCACCUACGCAUUUUAGAACUCAUCACCAUCAUAUUACAGAAGCCCGCUUAUCAUAUACGCUACCGGCGCAUCUUAGAGUACGCCACCGGAAUGCUGAUCUUAACUGCCUCGGUGACGAUGUCCGAUGAAAACCCAAAACCCUGCUUAAGUCUUCCGCUGAUCUGUCUGCAGUUUUCCAGAAAGAACUUGUUGGUAAUCAAUUUUUCCGGCGACCAGGUAAGAGAAUGGGGAAUUGCAUGUUUUCUGAUUUUUUUGAUGUGUUGAGGAUCGAUAGAGGUGGGCUGCUGAGAAUAUGGCAAGUCGUGCUUAUAUGCAGAUUUAAUCACUUAGACUAGUCUCACAAAAGGCAGUGAACGGUAUCUGUUGCUAUAGGCAUUGGGACCUUCUAUGUGAAGGUGGAUGACGAUGAAUGUGGUGUUUCACGAGAUGGACUGGUGCUGAUGGGAGAAAAGUAUGGUACUUCUAGCCCAGCUUAUGGAGACAUUGACAGAAGGUGCAUUUCAGUUUCGCUGAAACAGGUCUAGUGUUUCACACGCCGCCUCCAUGUUUUAUUGUAAUUCAGGAGUCAGACAAAGGAUACUGGCAUGUACCAACUGCCUCACAACUUGAAUCUGAAGAGGAAAGGACGUGGUUGUGCAUUAGGCGUGCCAAUUCACCUUUGGCAAAUCAAAACUCUGCCAGUGUAAACAUAUGAGUUACAUUCUUAGAAGUUGGUGUAUCUAAUAUUCUACCAUCCAAACAACUGAUGUGCAACAUCUUCGAGAUUAGAAGACGAUUAAAAUCCUCAUUGUGGUCUGUUUAAAUCUAAAGAGCAUGCAGAAGUUGCUACACCAGAAGAAACCCACAGAUUGUGUUGUUGUGGUUGAAGAGCUAUGGUGGAAAGCUUCGAAUUUUUCAGCUCUCAAAAGAACGGGCCUGUGUCAUUCUUCAAUGUAUAGAAUCAGAAGUUGUUUUCUUGCGGUAAGCUGAAGCACGUAAAAGAGUUACCAAGGUGGAAAUAGGCUGUCAGAACAUGAGAAGCUUCAAAAACUUGUUUUAAGUUGCACAUAAUAUUGCUUAGUAUAAGUAAAACCUAUACUUUAGAUCCAAAGUAUAUGUGAACUUAAACAUUUAUUAACAAAUGUGUAUGCAUUAGUAUAUUUGUCAGAUCAAUAUUUGCCUAAGUAGAAGUGCAAAAAACAGUAGGCGGAGAAUCUGCAAAAUCAAUUGAUGGAUGCUAUUUUUGGGCGACUUAAAUAAGGUAGAGUUGCAGAAUGCUUUUCAUCUUUAUAGUUGAAUUGGAUGUCGUUGGAUUAAAUUAAUUCAAUUUCCUUUUGCUCUGUGGCUAUUGUGAAAGUUAGUUUUGUAUAAUUGUAUAAAUGUAAGUUGCAGUGUUGGGCCCAUGCUAAGCACGGCCACAUGCCAUCUAAUUUGGAAAGAAAUAUGACGUUAAUAGUGUGGCCAAUGAACCUCUCGUGUGGUCCAGGGAUGUCAAUGUUUCAGACUCCUCCAUUCUUGGAUAUCCAAGACUGCAUUUGGUGUUCCAAACAAUUCACACUUUGGCACCCCAAGAUUUGAUUCCUAUUCCUUUGCCAACCAGCAGUAUCCAUGUCAGAGAGCAAAGGAAACUGAAGUACACCACCUUUGCUCAAUAGCUCUGGUUUUGGAAAGUCUGCAUUUGGUUAAUCAGAAAGGAAAGUAGAACAGCAUCAUACAAUCCAUUUGUGGAAUGCAGACUUAUCAAGAUAAAAGCCAUGACGAGUUGAGGUUUGAGGACUACCAGUUAGGUGCUAAAGGUGAGGAUUGAGAUAUGUAGAUGCUACACCCAAUACUGCCAGUUUCAUGAAAGGGGAGAUCAUAUUUACUUUUCUAGAGCAGCGAGGCGGCUUUGGGAUUGGCUGAAAAGCUAAAUCUGCUCCUUGUGAAAGUAGCUAUGAACAUUGAGCUGUACUUUUCUCCAUAAAUGUCGGGACAUUAGCCUUUAAUGCAGCAAUGAAUGCUACAUCUAGUCGAACACAAAGCAUAUCUCCGGGCUCAUCCACUUUACAAACAUUUGGAAAGAAAUAUGACGUUAACAGCGUGGCCAAGGAAUCUCUGAUGAGGGAUGCCAAUGUCUCAGACUCCUCCAUUCUUGGAUAUCCAAGAGCUCCUGCAUUUGGUGUUCCAAGCAACUCACACUCUGCCACCCCAAGAUUUGAUUCCU